rnacentral:rRNA from 1 species
ACUCAAAUGAAUUGACGGGGGCCCGCACAAGCGGUGGAGCAUGUGGAUUAAUACGUCACUAACCGUAGAACCUUACCCAGGCUUGACAUCCCGGGAACCCCGCUGAAAGGCGGGGGUGCCCUUCGGGGAGCCCGGAGACAGGUGUUGCAUGGCUGUCGUCAGCUCGUGUCGUGAGAUGUUGGGUUAAGUCCCGCAACGAGCGCAACCCUCACUGCCUGUUGCCAGCACCGGCUUGCCGGGUUGGGCACUCUGGCGGAACUGCCCGGGCAACCGGGAGGAAGGUGGGGACGACGUCAAGUCAGCAUGGCCCGUACGCCUGGGGCUUCACACAUGCUACAAUGGCCGGUACAAAGGGCUCCGAGGCCGUGAGGCGGAGGCAAUCCCAAAAAGCCGGUCCCAGUUCGGAUCGCAGGCUGCAACUCGCCUGCGUGAAGGCGGAAUCGCUAGUAACCGCCGGUCAGCUAAACGGCGGUGAAUACGUUCCCGGGCCUUGUACACACCGCCCGU